rnacentral:lncRNA from 1 species
AUUUUGAGACUCUAUUUUGCGUCUGGUUAUUUCCCAGGACUCUGAUCCAGCCGGGACGCCGGCUUACCUAGGAGACUGUGCGCCAUGAGGAAAAUAAUCACAACUCAAGUUCUGAGGUCAUCUGUUUCAUUCUUCUAUUGGGUCCUGACUACAGAAAAAGCGGAGAACCUGUCCUGCAUUUGGAAGUUGUGGAAGGCCAUUUUUUGCACCAAGCGAUUAAAAAAAAAAGACUAGCAUGAGAGACAGGGAGGGAGAAGAGGAGGGGCAAGAACAGGAGAGGAGAGAAGGUAGGUAUUCGGUAUUGUUCUGAAUAAGUACCUUGGAAUAAAA